UACGUAGGGUGCAAGCGUUAAUCGGAAUUACUGGGCGUAAAGCGUGCGCAGGCGGUUAUGCAAGACAGAUGUGAAAUCCCCGGGCUCAACCUGGGAACUGCAUUUGUGACUGCAUAGCUAGAGUGCGGCAGAGGGAGAUGGAAUUCCGCGUGUAGCAGUGAAAUGCGUAGAUAUGCGGAGGAACACCGAUGGCGAAGGCAAUCUCCUGGCCUGCACUGACGCUCAUGCACGAAAGCGUGGGAGCAA
rnacentral:rRNA from 1 species